GCGUUAGUGGUGUAACGAUUUAGCUUAUGCUCCCGGAAAGAGUGAGAUCUGGGUUUGAAUCCCGGCUGACGCA